GCAUCAGGUAACAUCAAAUCGUACCCCAAACCGACACAGGUGGUCAGGUAGAGAAUACCAAGGCGCUUGAGAGAACUCGGGUGAAGGAACUAGGCAAAAUGGUGCCGUAACUUCGGGAGAAGGCACGCUGGUGUGUAGGUGAAGCCCCUGCGGGUGGAGCUGAGACCAGUCGAAGAUACCAGCUGGCUGCAACUGUUUAUUAAAAACACAGCACUGUGCAAACACGAAAGUGGACGUAUACGGUGUGACGCCUGCCCGGUGCCGGAAGGUUAAUUGAUGGGGUUAUCCGUAAGGAGAA
rnacentral:rRNA from 2 species